rnacentral:rRNA from 1 species
UGGGCAACCUGCCCCCUCUCUCUGGGAUAACCCCGGGAAACCGGAGCUAAUACCGGAUACUCCGGCUGGAUCGCAUGGUCCGGCCGGGAAAGGUCCGCCGGAGAGGGAUGGGCCCGCGGCCUAUCAGCUUGUUGGUGAGGUAACGGCCCACCAAGGCGACGACGGGUAGCUGGCCUGAGAGGAUGGCCAGCCACAUUGGGACUGAGACACGGCCCAGACUCCUACGGGAGGCA